AGAGUUUGAUCAUGGCUCAGAUUGAACGCUGGCGGUAUGCUUAACACAUGCAAGUCGAACGGAAACGAUACUAGCUUGCUAGUAGGCGUCGAGUGGCGGACGGGUGAGUAACGCGUAGGAAUCUACCUAAUAGUGGGGGAUAGCCCGGAGAAAUCCGGAUUAAUACCGCAUAAUCUCUAUGGAGUAAAGGGGCCCUCUUCUUGAAAGGUUUCGCUAUCAGAUGAGCCUGCGUAAGAUUAGCUAGUUGGUGAGGUAAAAGCUCACCAAGGCGACGAUCUUUAGCUGGUCUGAGAGGAUGAUCAGCCACACUGGGACUGAGACACGGCCCAGACUCCUACGGGAGGCAGCAGUGGGGAAUAUUGGACAAUGGGGGCAACCCUGAUCCAGCAAUACCGCGUGUGUGAAGAAGGCCUGAGGGUUGUAAAGCACUUUCAAUUGUGAAGAAAAG
rnacentral:rRNA from 1 species